rnacentral:rRNA from 1 species
GACGAACGCUGGCGGCGUGCUUAACACAUGCAAGUCGAGCGAAUGGAUUAAGAGCUUGCUCUUAUGAAGUUAGCGGCGGACGGGUGAGUAACACGUGGGUAACCUGCCCAUAAGACUGGGAUAACUCCGGGAAACCGGGGCUAAUACCGGAUAACAUUUUGAACCGCAUGGUUCGAAAUUGAAAGGCGGCUUCGGCUGUCACUCAUGGAUGGACCCGCGUCGCAUUAGCUAGUUGGGGAGGUAACGGCUAACCAAGGCAACGAUGCGUAGCCGACCUGAGAGGGUGAUCGGCCACACUGGGACUGAGACACGGCCCAGACUCCUACGGGAGGCAGCAGUAGGGAAUCUUCCGCAAUGGACGAAAGUCUGACGGAGCAACGCCGCGUGAGUGAUGAAGGCUUUCGGGUCGUAAAACUCUGUUGUUAGGGAAGAACAAGUGCUAGUUGAAUAAGCUGGCACCUUGACGGUACCUAACCAGAAAGCCACGGCUAACUACGUGCCAGCCGCCGCAGUAA